AUAAUUGGAAUGUUAUCCCCCUUUGGAUUUUGGGGGCGGUGAAAGUGAGGGACCUUAUCCUCUCCUUUUCUCAUGAUGUACACAACACACCCACUACCACUGCAAAUAAUCACACAAUGCAUCACUCCUCUGAUUAAGUAAUUGAAAAAUAAAUCCUUGCCUUAUAAUUCCACUCCAACCAAAUUCACUCUAAAUUGAUUUCAAGGAAGAAAAAAAGAAAAAUACCCAUUAUCCAUUUACAAACUGUCCACUGAAAUUCAGAACAAUUCUAAUGCAACUAAUUAAUUUACAAACGAUAAAAAGCUUUCUCAAGCACUGAUGCCACCACGACCAAGUCUGGAAGCCGCCAUGUUUGCCACGUGGAACUGCGACACGUAGCUGUUACCAGAUCCUUCCGUCUCCGGCGGUUCGUUUAGAAACGCCCAGUUGCUUCUUCUCCACCAGGCGUUUUUCUUCGGCUUUUCUAGCUUAGUUUCAGAUUCCAUGUCCGAUAAUAAACCCUUCUUUGUAUUGGAUGGUGGCAUAGAGGCUGAUCUCUGAAGAUUCCCCCCAUAUUCCAUUUUCUUUUCCUCAUAGCUCUCAUAUGGCCUUAAAAUGGCUCUUAGAUGUUCUUCAUGCACUUGUUUCUUCGUUUUCCAGAACGCUUCAAUCUCUUCUUUUGUCAACGAUUUAUUCCUCCGGUGACUCACUUCUUGGGGGUCAGUCGCCGGGGAGUCCCAACCAGCCAUUAGAGAACCCAUCUCUCAAAAACAAAACUUUUGGUUCAAAAUAUUAAUGGUGAUAAAUCAGAUGUAUGAUAAUAUGUAA
rnacentral:misc_RNA from 1 species